ACUAAGAAGUGCAAUACACUCAAGCAAAAGUUGAAGUGCGGGCCAUUUUCUAUGCUAUUUAUAAAAUUACUUGCGGGCCAAUUAAAACCGGACUUUGGACACGCCUGCAAUAACUACUAAGAUUAGAAGUGCUAUAUUUAAAUAGACUGUCAGUGUGUUUGCCACUGUCUCUCAUUGACAUGUAUUUUGUGCUUUAAAGCUUUUUUUGUCUAAAAAGUGUUCUAAGCCAAGAGUUUAUCCAAACAGCCACUGAGAUGUGAGGUCGUACAUGUACACAGAAUAAACAUGCAUGUAUGAAAUUCCUUCCUGCACAAUUCCCAGUAGCGUGUUGGUUUGAGCUGGAGCACGCCUUCAGUAUGCCUGUGAGGCCUGGUCUAAUGAGAGUCUCACUCCAGCGUAAAAACCUGAUCUCACAAGUCAAGCGUGUAGGAGUCGUUUUUAAAGCAGCUACAGUGGUCACGUAUUAAUUGUUAACUUCAGACAAAGUCUCUGCGUUUCCUGACCCGACCUAUCAGCCCAUGCCUCGUCUCUCGUCUCUCUUUUCUCAUUAGACUGAGUAGAAGCAUCGGGAGUUGCUACACUUUGAGAGUAGGCGGCAGUGCUCAGGGAGAAAAUGAGAAAACAGUUAAGAUCCUACUAUCCUGUCCAGUACUGUUAUUAAGAGGAUGGAGCAUCAUUCAUCACAUCUCCCAUUGACUGCAGUCCUUUCACCUCUCUAUUACUUCAUUAAAGCUGCUGUGAGGCAAAGGAAAGAAAACAGAGACGUCUUUGCCAAGUUGAUAUUGACUUGUAUUCAAACUGCCAAGCAAAGCAGUUAAAUUAGAUUUGAGAAGAUUCAAUUAAAUGUCUUGUGUUAAUGUAUCCCUCUGCCACUGUUCAAAAAAUUAUCUGACAUAAAUUUAAUAUGCUGAGCUUGUGACUGUGCGGUCAUCUUGAUGGGAAAAAGAAAGAAAAUUGUUCCAUUUCAUGGAGGACUGAAGUCCUGCAAUACUGUACUGAUACUUUUCUCUGCUUCUGUUUUCUCAGCAUGUAGUCUGUGUCUGUAUAUCUGUGUUUUCAUGGUCGGUGUGCACUUUUCUUUCAGUGGUGUUAAAAAGUAUUUCAAACUCAAUAAGCAGUUCAAUACAUCAUUGUAGUGGGAGGAAAUGUUCCCUUUCAAAUUUAUGGAAAUUUCAUUUUGUCUGGAAAGCUUCAGGAGAAAAUUAGAUGUGCAUAUGCUUAAAAGUCGACUGCCACGAUUGGGUAAGUGCCAGGCAUACCUCAGCAUGAUUCACUGUGCCCUAUGCAGAUUGCAAAUGUACAAGGUCACACACAGUCACAAAGACAGAUUACAGGAAACUACAUGAAACAUACAGGAACACACAGGAAAACCUAUCAAUCUCAUUUUCAAAUGUGAUACUGAAGAUUGAGCUAGUUGCAACUCUCUAAUGAGGUACUUCCUUUUGCCUGCAGUCAACCAGCUAGAUUGCUUAGAUUUGGAGCUACCGAAAAUGUUCAGCAGAGUUUUAUGGGCCCAGCCGAGAGUGUCUGAGAUGCUGGUAAGACCACUGCUGUCCUCAACAUCCAGACAUGGCCUAUCUCAGGCAAAUUACUCACUGUGUACAGUAGUACAGUGUAGUUUAGCCUCUUCAACCCUUAGACUCAUAUAGACAUGUGAGGGAGAUGUUUGGAGCUAAAUAGUUUAAACAUUUUACUUAAAAUAGUAACAAGGAAUGAGUACCAGAUUAUUGUUUUGAGUAUUUAACCUGCAGUGUUAAUAAACCUACUGAUCUGCCACCAAAGUUCUUUGUUCUUGUAUUUUUUUGUAGUGAAGUUAUGUAAAAACCUGUCAAUGACAGUGUGCGUGUGUGUGUUUGUGUGUGUGUGUUCACAGCAUUUGAGACUUAUGAACUUUGACUGAUGAGGUGAUUAUGAGGAAGGUGAUCAGUAUGGAAGGUCUGUUAGUGUCCACUCUGGUCCACCUGAUGGGAAGUUCAUUAUGGGAUGGUGAACCUAAAGGUCUGUGUCGAUGCCUGCACGCCUAACUCUCUUUUGCGACCGCAUUUUGUCCAUGGAGCAUUUCCAUUACACUGCACCAACCACGCAUGUGUACGAGGCCGUCCACUUAAAGCAAACUUCAAAGAAGUGUAACAGGAAUGACAACUUGACCCCUGGGUCGUACUUAUCCAGAAUGGAGUAUGAUUUAGGCCUAAGUCGUCAUAGGUGGUGUCAGAAGAGAACAUUGUAUAAUAUGAUCAGCUAUAUGAAAUGUAUCUUUUUAUCUUAUUAUUAAGGACAUGUCUAAGUGACUUUUCACCUAGUAACUUGUGUGCAGCUACUAACCGCUUCCUGUCUUCAGAGAACAGAGAAGUGAAGACUCAGCUCUAUUAGAAGAACAUGCAAAUGUAGUGAAGGGGAAAAACCCGCGGCUCUAAAUGACGUUGUUACCUUUGUACACACGUACACACACACACACACACACACACACACACACACACACACAAAACAUCUUGUAUAAAUAAAGGACGCGGACAGUCAAUAGACGCAGAUCCUGCGUCUAAAGGGCUGCCCUCGCGAGCGAAAGAA